GACGAACGCUGGCGGCGUGCUUAACACAUGCAAGUCGAACGGAAAGGCCCUGCUUUUGUGGGGUGCUCGAGUGGCGAACGGGUGUGUAACACGUGAGUAACCUGCCCUUGACUUUGGGAUAACUUCAGGAAACUGGGGCUAAUACCGGCUAGGAGCUCCUGCUGCAUGGUGGGGGUUGGAAAGCUUCGGCGGUUGGGGAUGGACUCGCGGCUUAUCAGCUUGUUGGUGGGGUAGUGGCUUACCAAGGCUUUGACGGGUAGCCGGCCUGAGAGGGUGACCGGCCACAUUGGGACUGAGAUACGGACCAGACUCCUACAGGAGGCAGCAGUGGGGAAUAUUGCACAAUGGGCGGAAGCCUGAUGCAGCGACGCCGCGUGCGGGAUGACGGCCUACGGGUUGUAAACCGCUUUCAGCUGUGACGAAGCGUGAGUGACGGUAAUGGGUAAAGAAGCACCGGCUAACUACGUG
rnacentral:rRNA from 1 species